UACGUAGGGUCCGAGCGUUGUCCGGAAUUAUUGGGCGUAAAGGGCUCGUAGGCGGUUUGUCGCGUCGGGAGUGAAAACACGGGGCUUAACCCCGUGCCUGCUUCCGAUACGGGCAGACUAGAGGUAUGCAGGGGAGGACGGAAUUCCUGGUGUAGCGGUGAAAUGCGCAGAUAUCAGGAGGAACACCGGUGGCGAAGGCGGUUCUCUGGGCAUGUCCUGACGCUGAGGAGCGAAAGUGUGGGGAGCGAACAGG
rnacentral:rRNA from 1 species